UAAGUAUAUUGCUAUAGAUAAAUUGUUUCCUGAAUACAUGUAGAACAGGUAAUAUGAACUACCUACGUGUUGAAAAGUUGUAAACAAUUUAUAUACACAUCUUAAGUUGACGAGUAAAUGCUCUAUUGAAAGAGCUAGUUUUGUGGGACAACUAUCUAGUAUUCUUAGACGGGGAAGAAGGGGCACAAUGUGAAUAAAUUGAUCAAUGAGACGACAACUUACAGCACAAUAGCAAAAUUAUCAACCUUUUACGUUAGAUUCCUUUACUCGGUUUACGGUAGGGUUGAGUUUAAGGGUUAGGGUUAUAGAGUUAGGGAAGAUAUGUGGGUUUUUGGUUAGGUUGUAUAAAUAUAAAUGGUUUGGGAC
rnacentral:lncRNA from 1 species